GCAACGGUGAUUGAGUAGUAGAAUUCUUGCCUUCCAUGUUAGAGAUUCAGGUUUGAUUCCUGGCCAAAGCA
rnacentral:tRNA from 1 species